CCUACGGGUGGCAGCAGUGGGGAAUAUUGCGCAAUGGGCGAAAGCCUGACGCAGCGACGCCGCGUGAGGGAUGAAGGUCUUCGGAUCGUAAACCUCUGUCAGCAGGGAAGAACGGUCACUGUGCUAAUCAGCAGUGCAUUGACGGUACCUGCAAAGGAAGCACCGGCUAACUCCGUGCCAGCAGACGCGGUGAUACGGAGGGUGCGAGCGUUAAUCGGAAUGACUGGGCGUAAAGCGCUCGUAGGCGGUAUGUCAAGUCAAGGGUGAAAUCCCCGCGCUCAACGUGGGCACUGCCUUUGAAACUGGCAAACUGGAGUGUGUGAGAGGAUAGUGGAAUUCCAGGUGUAGGAGUGAAAUCCGUAGAUAUCUGGAGGAACAUCAGUGGCGAAGGCGACUAUCUGGCACAUAACUGACGCUGAGGAGCGAAAGCGUGGGUAGCAAACAGGAUUAGAUACCCCAGUAGUC
rnacentral:rRNA from 1 species